UACUCUCCCACUUUGGGUGGAUUUCAAAUGGAAGUCAGGCUUAAUUAGAGCUUUUGAAAGCUCAAGAGUUAAUACCUGCCCAUUAAACCUAACCACCAAUCAUUUGCUGUUCAUUUGCUGGCAAUAAGGGGCUGCGCUCACAGGCAUGGCGACUGGGAUGUGGGGCUGUAUUAGUGGGAACCAUCAUGGGAGGAAGGACCAUGGGUAUGGCUCCAUGCCCAGCUUGGGAGGGUAGGCAGAGGCCAGGGAAAGAAGGAGCAGAUGUUUGACCUUUUGGAGGCUUGGAGAAAAGUCUGCAGUUGAGAAACACUAGGAGGGUUGGAAAAUAUUUCAUCUGGUAAAAGUGAAGAGUCUAAGGGAGUGCUUUCUGUGAGGUGUCAUGUUCAUCAGCUCUUUUAAAGGUGAAAACAAUGAUUGGCAUCAAUCGGUUGUUAGCAUGAACUCCAUGAACACAGUGGGCUUGAUGAAGAAAUUAAGCAGAUCUUGUAUUCUCUCUCUUUUCUGCAGUGAGAGAGGAUUUGGAUCACUAAAGUCUCCUUUUCCUGACUUAUCCUGCUUUUAAAUUAACUUGCCUCAGUUUCCCUUCCU